rnacentral:lncRNA from 1 species
AAAUAGUUGAAGUAUAUAUUUCCGGAAUUCAUGGCUUACAACAAUCAGGAAUGAAUUAACAUAUGAAAUGAUUAAUUCCUUUUUUUCACAUAAUUUUAUAGAAAAAAGGGAGAAGUUAAUGAUGUGCGUUUUCUAGUUGUGGUCAAUGAAAGAUGGGCGUUGUAUAAUGACUUCGACAUCGUUUUAGGUGUGAACAUCCUCUGUCAUAACCGUUUGAUGGUGGUGGGAGGCAAUUACCGCCUCCUAGUUUGCAUGGAACUUGAAGAUUUUUUCCCAGUCCCGGGUAGCUGAUUGGUGUCGCGUUUGCACCCUCUUCCAUCACCAUUGAGCUUAUUACCAAUGAACAAAUCCACAACACCAUGAUCUUCUUCUCCACUCCCAUUUUGUUCCAAGAAAUAUACAAUUAUUUAUUUAAUUAGAACUUUACACUAUCUUUCAAUCAAAAGUUUGGGUUUUUUAUCGCUUCAUGGUACUUGUAUAUUUAGUAAAAUGUUUAACCAUAAAUACAAGAUUUAAGCAUUUUUUAAGACAGUUUUAGUGAAUAAGAUGAUGAGUUCAUAACAGAAUUCCCUAGUCUCUUUCAACGCUAUUCAUCCUUUCCAAAAUUAUACAUGCAAUACUAGAUAAAAAAAUGACAUGUUAAAUGUCAGUUUUCUUUAUCAACUACCAAUUUGAGUAAUAUUUUUCAAUGAAAAUAUAAGGAAAUCUCCUCCCUUUCUUUUUCAACAAACUAUUACUAUCCCGUACAACUUUAAAAUCAGUUAUUUGACUAAUGGUAAAUGUACAAUUUUAUUUGAAAUAAUAAGUUAUUCACAUUUUCGUUGUUCUUAUUUCCUAAAGCAUGUGGUAAUCUGAUUGUGUCCGGAUUAAAUUUGGGUUAUAGUUUUAGGAGCUUACUAUUAUUAUUUUGUUUAUGCUAACUUUAGUUUUUAUUAUUUCUUCUAUUUUGUUUAUUAUUAGAAAUUCUAUCGUAUGCGUAUACUUGUGGAAAUUACAUAUUUACAAUAUGAAUGUUUUUAAAACUAACAAACAAUAAAUAAUGAAAUGUAUGGUUCAAAACUAAAAAUAAUAACAAACUUUAUGAGAGAAAACAUUUUGUGCUACAAAUCAAUUUUUUAGAAGUUUACUCAAGAAAUAUUAUUGAUGUAGUGGUAAAGAAUUUGUUUGUAGAUCCAUUAAACACAAGUACCAAUCCCCAAACAUGGUAAAUUUAGUUCUUUUAACUAAAAACUAUAUAAAUGUAUGAAAAUACAAAAAAGGCAUCAGAAUGAUAAUAAUAGUCAUUUAACUAAAUUGUUUAUAAGUAAUUCCCUAAGUUGUGACAGACCACAGCCCAACGUGUUGAUGUGUUGGCUAAAAACCACGCAAAUAAAAUAUGUAGAGUUAAGUGCGGUUUCUGCAGGUGAACAUGUCAACCUGCAAUAUAGUUUUCUUUACAAUUAAACACUUAUAAAGUAUUUCGAGGAUCGUAUCCAAGGGAUUAUUGAUUAAAGAAAAUGGCUAUUAAAUUAAUUACAGAAAUUAAGUACUAAUCUAGUCGAGUUAUAAAUUAGUAGUAUAAAUCCAAAACAAUAAUAAAAUUAACUAAUUAUUUUAACCGAAAACUAAAAGUAACCCUAAGUUAAUUAUUUGUUUCUCCUAUUCCUAGUUUCGACAACGUGAUCCUUCACAGCCAAGAAUCAAUUUUAACCCUAAUUAUUAAUUAAGUAGACAAGGACCUUUAAUUAAGUAUGUACUAACCUUAGCUAAGAAUACCUUCCCGGUUUCAUCUUCAUUAAGAAUUACAACCUAAGAUUCCUUUUUGGUCUUACCUAAGCAUACGGAUACCCUUUUGUUCUCACUGCUUGGUACAAGUUCUACUCAAUUGGAUACCCUCUCAGUCUCACUUGUCUAGAUCUUCUACUAUAGGUGUCACUUCCUAGUAUAUUAAGUACUUUCGAAUAAAAACUCAAUUUUAGGUUACUAUUUAUUUAAUCAAUUAAUUAAUGAAAUAAUCAAGUCAUUCAAAAUAAGUAUGGAGCCCAAAAUACAUUCCAAUAAUUAUAUAUACAUUCUAUUAAUAAAACUAUCAAAUGCAAUAUAAAUGAAAGAAUAAAGGGACGAGAAUGCUCGUUAAUUAAUCAUUGAAAUGGCACUAUUUCAAAACAUCAUUUGCUCGCGAUCGACUAACUUUGAGAGACAAGCAUGUAUUGGUCCAUCAAUUAAUUAGUUAGAGGCUAAGAGGUAAUAGCUGGUAAUUAAUAGCUAACUUGAUAAAACCUGAGUUCUGAAGUUAAUUAGGAACACUGAAAUGAAUUAAUCUUAUGCCUGCUUAAUUGAAUUUAAUUUAGAUUGUUAAAAUUGAUUGUCUUUAAUUUUUGUUAAUUUAUGUUUUUUUGAUUGAUUGCCUUUGAUUUAGUUUUUGGUAAUAUAAUAUUAGAUUACUACUAUUUAGCCUGGUUAGUGUAGCAUAUUAGUCUUGGUUCAAUUCAACCUCCCUUGGGUACGAUCCUCGGAAUAGAUCCCGAAGUGUUUCCUUGUAACAUUAUUCUAUAUUACAAUUUAACUCGUAUACUUGUUGACACACUACAUUAUUAAUUGGCUCUUUAGCUGUUGUAUUUGAAACCCAGACGUUCGCAACUCUGGUGGCAGUCAUUUGGCCAAAUGUUGACAGUUGGACAUGAAGAGUUUAAGAUGUACCCAUCAGUUGCAGGCUCCUUCGUGCGACCCAUGAAACUAGGGCAUGGGAACACCUAUAUCCAACAAACUCAUUGAAGUUAAUAAGACCUCCAUUGUUCGCACCGCUUUACUUAAAACUAUUUCUAUGUCACUUUUUCAUGAACGUAAGACAACUUAUAUGAAUUAGAAAAAAUAUUAAUAAGACCUUUGCUCAAAUUUUUAAAAAAAUAGUUGAAGUAUAUAUUUCCGGAAUUCAUGGCUUACAACAAUCAGGAAUGAAUUAACAUAUGAAAUGAUUAAUUCCUUUUUUUCACAUAAUUUUAUAGAAAAAAGGGAGAAGUUAAUGAUGUGCAUUUUCUAGUUGUGGUCAAUGAAAGAUGGGCGUUGUAUAAUGACUUCGACAUCGUUUUAGGUGAGAACAUCCUCUGUCAUAACCGUUUGAUGGUGGUGGGAGGCAAUUACCGCCUCCUAGUUUGCAUGGAACUUGAAGAUUUUUUCCCAGUCCCGGGUAGCUAAUUGGUGUCGCGUUUGCACCCUCUUCCAUCACCAUUGAGCUUAUUACCAAUGAACAAAUCCACAACACCAUGAUCUUCUUCUCCACUCCCAUUUUGUUCCAAGAAAUAUACAAUUAUUUAUUUAAUUAGAACUUUACACUAUCUUUCAAUCAAAAGUUUGGGUUUUUUAUCGCUUCAUGGUACUUGUAUAUUUAGUAAAAUGUUUAACCAUAAAUACAAGAUUUAAGCAUUUUUUAAGACAUUUUUAGUAAAUAAGAUGAUGAGUUCAUAACAGAAUUCCCUAGUCUCUUUCAACGCUAUUCAUCCUUUCCAAAAUUAUACAUGCAAUACUAGAUAAAAAAAUGACAUGUUAAAUGUCAGUUUUCUUUAUCAACUACCAAUUUGAGUAAUAUUUUUCAAUGAAAAUAUAAGGAAAUCUCCUCCCUUUCUUUUUCUACAAACUAUUACUAUCCCGUACAACAUUAAAAUCAGUUAUUUGACUAAAGGUAAAUGUACAAUUUUAUUUGAAAUAAUAAGUUAUCCACAUUUUCGUUGUUCUAAUUUCCUAAAGCAUGUGGUAAUCCGAUUGUGUCCGAUUGUGUCCGGGUUAAAUUUGGGUUAUAGUUUUAGGAGCUUACUAUUAUUAUUUUGUUUAUGCUAACUUUAGUUUUUAUUAUUUCUUCUAUUUUGUUUAUUAUUAUAAAUUCUAUCGUAUGCGUAUACUUGUGGAAAUUACAUAUUUACAAUAUGAAUGUUUUUAAAACUAACAAACAAUAAAUAAUGAAAUGUAUGGUUCAAAACUAAAAAUAAUAACAAACUUUAUGAGAGAAAACAUUUUGUGUUAAAAAUCAAUUUUUUUGAAGUUUACUCAAGAAAUAUUAUUGAUGUAGUGGUAAAGAAUUUAUCUGUAGAUCCAUUAAACACAAGUACCAAUCCCCAAACAUGGUAAAUUUAUUUCUUUUAACUAAAAACUAUAUAAAUGUAUGAAAAUACGAAAAAGGCAUCAGAAUGAUAAUAAUAGUCAUUUAACUAAAUGGUUUAUAAGUAAUUCCCUAAGUUGUGACAGACCACAGCCCAACGUGUGGAUGUGUUGGCUAAAAACCACGCAAAUAAAAUAUGUAGAGUUAAGUGCGGUUUCUGCAGGUGAACAUGUCAACUUGCAAUAUAGUUUUCUUUACAAUGAAACACUUAUAAAGUAUUUCGAGGAUCGUACCCAAGGGAUUAUUGAUUAAAGAAAAUGGCUAUUAAAUUAAUUACAGAAAUUAAGUACUAAUCUAGUCGAGUUAUAAAUUAGUCGUAUAAAUCCAAAACAAUAAUAAAAUUAACUAAUUAUUUUAACCGAAAACUAAAAGUAACCCUAAGUUAAUUAUUUCUUUCUCCUAUUCCUAGUUUCGACAACGUGAGCCUUCUCAGCCAAGAAUCAAUUUUAACCCUAAUUAUUAAUUAAGUAGACAAGGACCUUUAAUUAAGUAUGUACUAACCUUAGCUAAGAAUACCUUCCCGGUUUCAUCUUCAUUAAGAAUUACAACCUAAGAUUCCUUUUUGGUCUUACCUAAGCAUACGGAUACCCUUUUGUUCUCACUGCUUGGUACAAGUUCUACUCAAUAGGAUACCCUCUCAGUCUCACUUGUCUAGAUCAUCUACUAUAGGUGUCACUUCCUAGUAUAUUAAGUACUUUCGAAUAAAAACUAAAUUUUAGGCUACUAUUUAUUUAAUCAAUUAAUUACUGAAAUAAUCAAGUCAUUCAAAAUAAGUAUGAAGCCCAAAAUACAUUCCAAUAAUUAUAUAAACAUUCUAUUAAUAAAACUAUCAAAUACAAUAUAAAUGAAAGAAUAAAGGGACGAGAAUGCUCGUUAAUUAAUCAUUGAAAUGGCAAUAUUUCAAAACAUCCUUUGCUCGCGAUCGACUAACUUUGAGAGAGAAGCAUGUAUUGGCCCAUCAAUUAAUUAGUUAGAGGCUAAGAGGUAAUAGCUGGUAAUUAAUAGCUAACUUGAUAAAACCUGAGUUCUGAAGUUAAUUAGGAACACUGAAAUGAAUUAAUCUUAUGCCUGCUUAAUUUAAUUUAACUUCGAUUGUUAAAAUUGAUUGUCUUUAAUUUUUGUUAAUUUAUGUUUUUUUGAUUGAUUGCCUUUGAUUUAGUUUUUGGUAAUAUAAUAUUAGAUUACUACUAUUUAGCCUGGUUAGUGUAGAAUAUUAGUCUUGGUUCAAUUCAACCUCCUUUGGGUACGAUCCUCGGAAUAGAUCCCGAAGUGUUUCCUUGUAACAUUAUUCUAUAUUACAAUUUAACUCGUAUACUUGUUGACACACUACAUUAUUAAUUGGCUCUUUAGCUACGGUAUUUUCAACCCAGACAUUCGCACAUCUGGUGGCAGUCAUUUGGCCAAAUGUUGACAAUUGGACAUGAAGAGUUUAAGAUGUACACAUCAGUUGCAGGCUCCUUCGUGCGACCCAUGAAACUAGGGCAUGGGAACACCUAUAUCCAACAAACUCAUUGAAGUUAAUAAGACCUUCAUUGUUCACACCGCUUUACUUAAAACUAUUUCAAUGUCACUUUUUUAAGAACGUAAGACAACUUAUAUGAAUUAGAGAAAAUAUUAAUAAGACCUUUGCUCAAAUUUUUAAAAAAAUAGUUGAAGUAUAUAUUUCCGAAAUUCAUGGCUUACAACAAUCAGGAAUGAAUUAACUUAUGAAAUGAUUAAUUCCUUUUUUUUCUCAUAAUUUUAUAGAAAAAAGGGAGAAGUUAAUGAUGUGCGUUUUCUAGUUGUGGUCAAUGAAAGAUGGGCGUUGUAUAAUGACUUCGACAUCGUUUUAGGUGUGAACAUCCUCUGUCAUAACUGUUUGAUGGUGGUGGGAGGCAAUUACCGCCUCCUAGUUUGCAUGGAACUUGAAGAUUUUUUCCCAGUCCCGGGUAGCUGAUUGGUGUCGCGUUUGCACCCUCUUCCAUCACCAUUGAGCUUAUUACCAAUGAACAAAUCCACAACACCAUGAUCUUCUUCUCCACUCCCAUUUUGUUCCAAGAAAUAUACAAUUAUUUAUUUAAUUAGAACUUUACACUAUCUUUCAAUCAAAAGUUUGGGUUUUUUAUCGCUUCAUGGUACUUGUAUAUUUAGUAAAAUGUUUAACCAUAAAUACAAGAUUUAAGCAUUUUUUAAGACAGUUUUAGUAAAUAAGAUGAUGAGUUCAUAACAGAAUUCCCUAGUCUCUUUCAACGCUAUUCAUCCUUUCCAAAAUUAUACAUGCAAUACUAGAUAAAAAAUGACUUGUUAAAUGUCAGUUUUCUUUAUAAACUACCAAUUUGAAUAAUAUUUUUCAAUGAAAAUAUAAGGAAAUCUCCUCCCUUUCUUUUUCUACAAACUAUUACUAUCCCGUACAACUUUAAAAUCAUUUAUUUGACUAAUGGAAAAUCAACAAUUUUAUUUGAAAUAAUAAGUUAUCCACAUUUUCGUUGUUCUUAUUUCCUAAAGCAUGUGGUAAUCCGAUUGUGUCCGGGUGAAAUUUGGGUUAUAGUUUUAGGAGCUUACUAUUAUUAUUUUCUUUAUGCUAACUUUUGUUUUUAUUAUUUCUUCUAUUUUGUUUAUUAUUAGAAAUUCUAUCGUAUGCGUAUACUUGUGGAAAUUACAUAUUUACAAUAUGAAUGUUUUUAAAACUAACAAACAAUAAAUAAUGAAAUGUAUGGUUCAAAACUAAAAAUAAUAACAAACUUUGUGAGAGAAAACAUUUUGUGCUAAAAAUCAAUUUUUUAGAAGUUUACUCAAGAAAUAUUAUUGAUGUAGUGGUAAAGAAUUUGUUUGUAGAUCCAUUAAACACAAGUUCCAAUCCCCAAACAUGGUAAAUUUAGUUCUUUUAACUAAAAACUAUAUAAAUCUAUGAAAGUACAAAAAGGGCAUCAAAAUGAUAAUAAUAGUCAUCUAACUAAAUGGUUUAUUAGUAAUUCCCUAAGUUGUGACAGACCACAGCCCAACGUGUGAAUGUGUUGGCUAAAAAUCACGCAAAUAAAAUAUGUAGAGUUAACUGCGGUUUCUGCAGGUGAACAUGUCAACUUGCAAUAUUGUUUUCUUUGCAAUGAAACACUUAUAAAGUAUUUCGAGGAUCGUACCCAAGGGAUUAUUGAUUAAAGAAAAUGGCUAUUAAAUUAAUUACAGAAAUUAAGUACUAAUCUAGUCGAGUUACAAAUUAGUAGUAUAAAUCCAAAACAAUAAUAAAAUUAACUAAUUAUUUUAACCGAAAACUAAAUGUAACCGUAAAUUAAUUAUUUGUUUCUCCUAUUCCUAGUUUCGACAACGUGAGCCUUCUCAGCCAAGAAUCAAUUCUAACCCUAAUUAUUAAUUAAGUACACAAGAACCUUGAAUUAAGAAUGUACUAACCUUAGCGAAGAAUACCUUCCCGGUUUCAUCUUCAUUAAGAAUUACAACCUAAGAUUCCUUUUCGGUCUUACCUAAGCAUACGUAUACCCUUUUGUUCUCACAGCUUGGUACAAGUUCUACUCAAUAGGAUACCCUCUCAGUCUCACUUGUCUAGAUCUUCUACUAUAGGUGUCACUUCCUAGUAUAUUAAGUACUUUCGAAUAAAAACUCAAUUUUAGGUUACUAUUAAUUUAAUCAAUUAAUUAAUGAAAUAAUCAAGUCAUUCAAAAAAAGUAAGAAGCCCAAAAUACAUUCCAAUAAUUAUAUAAACAUUCUAUUAAUAAAACUAUCAAAUGCAAUAUAAAUGAAAGAAUAAAGGGACGAGAAUGCUCGUUAAUUAAUCAUUGAAAUGGCACUAUUUCAAAACAUCCUUUGCUCGCGAUCGACUAACUUUGAGAGACAAGCAUGUAUUGGUCCAUUAAUUAAUUAGUUAGAGGCUAAGAGGUAAUAGCUGGUAAUUAAUAGCUAACUUGAUAAAACCUGAGUUCUGAAGUUAAUUAGGAACACUGAAAUGAAUUAAUCUUAUGCCUGCUUAAUUGAAUUUAACUUCGAUUGUUAAAAUUGAUUGUCUUUAAUUUUUGUUAAUUUAUGUUUUUUUGAUUGAUUGCCUUUGAUUUAGUUUUUGGUAAUAUAAUAUUAGAUUACUACUAUUUAGCCUUGUUAGUGUAGAAUAUUAGUCUUGGUUCAAUUCAACCUCCCUUGGGUACGAUCCUCGGAAUAGAUCCUGAAGUGUUUCCUUGUAACAUUAUUCUAUAUUACAAUUUAACUCGUAUACUUGUUGACACACUACAUUAUUAAUUGGCUCUUUAGCUGCGGUAUUUUCAACCCAGACAUUCGCACAUCUGGUGGCAGUCAUUUGGCCAAAUGUUGACAAUUGGACAUGAAGAGUUUAAGAUGUACACAUCAGUUGCAGGCUCCUUUAUGCGACCCAUGAAACUAGGGCAUGGGAACACCUAUAUCCAACAAACUCAUUGAAGUUAAUAAGACCUCCAUUGUUCGCACCGCUUUACUUAAAACUAUUUCUAUGUCACUUUUUUAAGAAUGUAAGACAACUUAUAUGAAUUAGAGAAAAUAUUAAUAAGACCUUUGCUCAAAUUUUUAAAAAAAUAGUUGAAGUAUAUAUUUCCGGAAUUCAUGGCUUACAACAAUCAGGAAUGAAUUAACAGAUGAAAUGAUUAAUUCCUUUUUUUUCACAUAAUUUUAUAGAAAAAAGGGAGAAGUUAAUGCUGUGCAUUUUCUAGUUUUGGUCAAUGAAAGAUGGGCGCUGUAUAGUGACUUCGACAUCGUUUUUGGUGUGAACAUCCUCUGUCAUAACCGUUUGAUGGUUGUGGGAGGCAAUUACCGCCUCCUGGUUUGCAUGGAACUUGAAGAUUUUUUCCCAGUCCCGGGUAGCUGAUUGGUGUCGCGUUUGCACCCUCUUCCAUCACCAUUGAGCUUAUUUCCAAUGAACAAAUCCACACCACCAUGAUCUUCUUCUCCACUCCCAUUUUGUUCCAAGAAAUAUACAAUUAUUUAUUUAAUUAGAACUUUACACUAUCUUUCAAUCAAAAGUUUGGGUUUUUUAUCGCUUCGUGGUACUUGUAUAUUUAGUAAAAUGUUUAACCAUAAAUACAAGAUUUAAGCAUUUUUUGUGACAUUUUUAGUAAAUAAGAUGAUGAGUUCAUAGCAGAAUUCCCUAGUCUCUUUCAACGCUAUUCAUCCUUUCCAAAAUUAUACAUGCAAUACUAGAUAAAAAAAAUGACAUGUUAAAAGUUAGUUUUCUUUAUCAACUACCAAUUUGAGUAAUAUUUUUCAAUGAAAAUAUAAGGAAAUCUCCUCCCUUUCUUUUUCUACAAACUAUUACUAUCCCGUACAACAUUAAAAUCAGUUAUUUGACUAAAGGUAAAUGUACAAUUUUAUUUGAAAUAAUAAGUUAUCCACAUUUUCGUUGUUCUUAUUUCCUAAAGCAUGUGGUAAUCCGAUUGUGUCCGAUUGUGUCCGGGUUAAAUUUGGGUUAUAGUUUUAGGAGCUUACUAUUAUUAUUUUGUUUAUGCUAACUUUAGUUUUUAUUAUUUCUUCUAUUUUGUUUAUUAUUAGAAAUUCUAUCGUAUGCAUAUACUUGUGGAAAUUACAUAUUUACAAUAUGAAUGUUUUUAAAACUAACAAACAAUAAAUAAUGAAAUGUAUGGUUCAAAACUAAAAAUAAUAACAAACUUUGUGAGAGAAAACAUUUUGUGCUAAAAAUCAAUUUUUUAGAAGUUUACUCAAGAAAUAUUAUUGAUGUAGUGGUAAAGAAUUUGUUUGUAGAUCCAUUAAACACAAGUUCCAAUCCCCAAACAUGGUAAAUUUAGUUCUUUUAACUAAAAACUAUAUAAAUCUAUGAAAAUACAAAAAGGGCAUCAGAAUGAUAAUAAUAGACAUUUAACUAAAUGGUUUAUAAGUAAUUCCCUAAGUUGUGACAGACCACAGCCCAACGUGUGGAUGUGUUGGCUAAAAAUCACGCAAAUAAAAUAUGUAGAGUUAAGUGCGGUUUCUGCAGGUGAACAUGUCAACUUGCAAUAUUGUUUUGUUUGCAAUGAAACACUUAUAAAGUAUCUCGAGGAUCGUACCCAAGGGAUUAUUGAUUAAAGAAAAUGGCUAUUAAAUUAAUUACAGAAAUUAAGUACUAAUCUAGUCGAGUUACAAAUUAGUAGUAUAAAUCCAAAACAAUAAUAAAAUUAACUAAUUAUUUUAACCGAAAACUAAAUGUAACCGUAAAUUAAUUAUUUGUUUCUCCUAUUCCUAGUUUCGACAACGUGAGCCUUCCCAGCCAAGAAUCAAUUUUAACCCUAAUUAUUAAUUAAGUAGACAAGAACCUUUAAUUAAGUAUGUACUAACCUUAGCUAAGAAUUCCUUCUCGGUUUCAUCUUCAUUAAGAAUUACCACCUAAGAUUCCUUUUCGGUCUUACCUAAGCAUACGGAUACCCUUUUGUUCUCACUGCUUGGUACAAGUUCUACUCAAUAGGAUACCCUCUCAGUCUCACUUGUCUAGAUCUUCUACUAUAGGUGUCACUUCCUAGUAUAUUAAGUACUUUCGAAUAAAAACUCAAUUUUAGGUUACUAUUUAUUUAAUCAAUUAAUUAAUGAAAUAAUCAAGUCAUUCAAAAUAAGUAUGAAGCCCAAAAUACAUUCCAAUAUUUAUAUAAACAUUCAAUUAAUAAAACUAUCAAAUGCAAUAUAAAUGAAAGAAUAAAGGGACGAGAAUGCUCGUUAAUUAAUCAUUGAAAUGGCACUAUUUCAAAACAUCCUUUGCUCACGACCGACUAAUUUUGAGAGAAAAGCAUGUACUGGUCCAUUAAUUAAUUAGUUAGAGGCUAAGAGGUAAUAGCUGGUAAUUAAUAGCUACCUUGAUAAAACCUGAGUUCUGAAGUUAAUUAGGAACACUGAAAUGAUUUAAUCUUAUGCCUGCUUAAUUGAAUUUAAUUUCGAUUGUUAAAAUUGAUUGUCUUUAAUUUUUGUUAAUUUAUGUUAUUUUGAUUGAUUGCCUUUGAUUUUGUUUUUGGUAAUAUAAUAUUAGAUUACUACUAAUUAGCCUGAUUAGUGUAGAAUAUUAGUCUUGGUUCAAGUCAACCUCCCUUGGGUACGAUCGUAGGAAUAGAUCCCUAAGUGUUUCCUUGUAACAGUAUUCUAUAUUACAAUUUAACUCGUAUACUUGUUGGCACACUACAUUAUUAAUUGGCUCUUUAGCUGCGGUAUUUUCAACCCAGACGUUCGCACAGCUGGUCGCAGUCAUUUGGCCAAAUGUUGACAAUUGGACAUGAAGAGUUUAAGAUGUACACAUCAGUUGCAGGCUCCUUCGUGCGACCCAUGAAACUAGGGCAUGGGAACACCUAUAUCCAACAAACUCAUUGAAGUUAAUAAGACCUCCAUUGUUCGCACCGCUUUACUUAAAACUAUUUCUAUGUCACUUUUUCAAGAACGUAAGACAACUUAUAUGAAUUAGAGAAAAUAUUAAUAAGACCUUUGCUCAAAUUUUUAAAAAAAUAGUUGAAGUAUAUAUUUCCGGAAUUCAUGGCUUACAACAAUCAGGAAUGAAUUAACAUAUGAAAUGAUUAAUUCCUUUUUUUCACAUAAUUUUAUAGAAAAAAGGGAGAAGUUAAUGAUGUGCAGUUUCUAGUAGUGGUCAAUGAAAGAUGGGCGUUGUAUAGUGACUUCGACAUCGUUUUUGGUGUGAACAUCCUCUGUCAUAACCGUUUGAUGGUGGUGGGAGGCAAUUACCGCCUCCUAGUUUGCAUGGAACUUGAAGAUUUUUUCCCAGUCCCGGGUAGCUAAUUGGUGUCGCGUUUGCACCCUCUUCCAUCACCAUUGAGCUUAUUACCAAUGAACAAAUCCACAACACCAUGAUCUUCUUCUCCACUCCCAUUU